rnacentral:rRNA from 1 species
GCGGCGGACGGGUGAGUAAUGCCUAGGAAUCUGCCUGGUACUGGGGGACAACGUUUCGAAAGGAACGCUAAUACCGCAUACGUCCUACGGGAGAAAGCAGGGGACCUUCGGGCCUUGCGCUAUCAGAUGAGCCUAUGUCGGAUUACCUUGUUGGUGAGGUAAUGGCUCACCAAGGCCACCAUCCGUAACUGGUCUGAGAGGAUGAUCAUUCACACUGGAACUGACACACGGUCCAUACUCCUACGGGAGGCAUCAUUGGGGAAUAUUGGACAAUGGGCGAAAGCCUGAUCCAGCCAUGCCGCGUGUGUGAAGAAGGUCUUCUGAUUGUAAAGCACUUUAAGUUGGGAGGAAGGGCAGUAAGCUAAUACCUUGCUGUUUUGACGUUACCGACAUAAUAAGCACCGGCUAACUCUGUGCCAGCAACCGCGGUAAUACAGAGGGUGCAAGCGUUAAUCGGAAUUACUGGGCGUAAAGCGCGCGUACGUGGUUUGUUAAGUUGGAUGUGAAAGCCCCGGGCUCAACCUGGGAACUGCAUCCAAAACUGGCAAGCUAGAGUACGGUAGAGGGUGGUGGAAUUUCCUGUGUAGCGGUGAAAUGCGUAGAUAUAGGAAGGAACACCAGUG